AUUGAACGCUGGCGGCAGGCCCAACACAUGCAAGUCGAGCGGAUGAGGAGAGCUUGCUCUUCGAUUCAGCGGCGGACGGGUGAGUAAUGCCUAGGAAUCUGCCUGGUAGUGGGGGACAACGUUUCGAAAGGAACGCUAAUACCGCAUACGUCCUACGGGAGAAAGCAGGGGACCUUCGGGCCUUGCGCUAUCAGGUGAGCCUAGGUCGGAUUAGCUAGUUGGUGAGGUAAUGGCUCACCAAGGCGACGAUCCGUAACUGGUCUGAGAGGAUGAGCAGUCACACUGGAACUGAGACACGGUCCAGACUCCUACGGGAGGCAGCAGUGGGGAAUAUUGGACAAUGGGCGAAAGCCUGAUCCAGCCAUGCCGCGUGUGUGAAGAAGGUCUUCGGAUUGUAAAGCACUUUAAGUUGGGAGGAAGGGCAGUAAGUUAAUACCUUGCUGUUUUGACGUUACCGACAGAAUAAGCACCGGCUAACUCUGUGCCAGCCGCCGCGGUAACAC
rnacentral:rRNA from 1 species